CAACAGAAUUACUUUUCUUCUCCCCUGUCAUUGUAAUUUGACUGAAAUUGCAUUUUAGUUUCUUUAUAAUGGAAAACAAAGCAUACAGACUGUGCUUCUGUGAGCUGUCUGAGCCAACAGAACAUACACAACCUGGUGUGAAGUGAAGGGGAAGGCUGUGAGGAAAACAGUGCAGCAGUUAUCAAGUCAAUUCUGUGUACUGCAGCAUUAGAGGAAGGGGAGUGAUGCUGGAAGAGACAAAAAGGGAGAAAGGGAAGACAGGAUGACCAAGAAUAAGAAACACCUUAAAGAAGAAAGCAGAAAUCCUUAAUGAAUCAACCAAGUACCUCUCCUUACAAACCUUACUUUGUUUCUCCAUUUUUCUGUCCUUUGCAUUAUUUUUCCUCCCCCUUUCUGCUCCAGGAGCACAGUUCGUGCAUGUUCUAUGUGAGGACUUGCUGAUCUUGACUCUUUCCCAGCAGUCCAAGCAUGAGCCUGGAUAAUACUCAUCAGAAAUGUUUCCAUGCGGUGAUUGAUGAUAGCUCUAGGAAAAGGUAUUUUCAGUCUCUCUGCUUAAAGAGCAGAGCUGGAACACAGAACAGGAGGCUCUGAAUAAACACUGUCAUAAUUGUGCAGAGUUUGGGCACAAUAUCCCACGAUAGUUGCUGUGUCUAAAUCACUUAAAUCUAAUGGAAUUCAGCUUGACUUUGCAUUUAGAUGAUUAUAUAAACCACUAAAUGUCUUGCUCA